AAGAGGUCCAGCCUGCCCAGUGACACAUGUUCAACGGCCGCGGUAUCCUAACCGUGCGAAGGUAGCGUAAUCACUUGUUCUUUAAAUGAGGACUAGUAUGAAUGGCAUCACGAGGACUAUACUGUCUCCUUUUUCUAAUCAGUGAAACUAAUCUCCCCGUGAAGAAGCGGGGGUGAAACUAUAAGACGAGAAGACCCUAUGGAGCUUUAAAUUAUAACUCAAAUGCCCCUCACUCUUUUAACUUCCUAGUAUCAUUCACUAUUCUGGCAUAAUGAGGUAAAAUUUUUGGUUGGGGUGACCGCGGAGUACAAAAUAACCUCCACAUUGAAACAGGCCUACAAGCUUCAAGAAAUGAAUUACGAUUCUAUUUAUAAAAAAUAACAUUAUUGACCCA
rnacentral:rRNA from 1 species